CUCCAGACUCCUACGGGAGGCAGCAGUGGGGAAUAUUGCACAAUGGGGGAAACCCUGAUGCAGCGACGCCGCGUGGGCGAGGAAGUACCUCGGUAUGUAAAGCCCUAUCAGCAGGGAAGAAACAGGACAGUACCUGACUAAGAAGCCCCGGCUAACUACGUGCCAGCAGCCGCGGUAAUACGUAGGGGGCAAGCGUUAUCCGGAUUUACUGGGUGUAAAGGGAGCGUAGACGGUAUGGCAAGUCUGAUGUGAAAACCCGGGGCUCAACCCCGGGACUGCAUUGGAAACUGUCGGACUAGAGUGUCGGAGAGGCAAGUGGAAUUCCUAGUGUAGCGGUGAAAUGCGUAGAUAUUAGGAGGAACACCAGUGGCGAAGGCGGCUUACUGGACUGUAACUGACGUUGAGGCUCGAAAGCGUGGGGAGCAAACAGGAUUAGAUACCCCUGUA
rnacentral:rRNA from 1 species